UGUGGCUAUGUCAUGUUGAUACUCCGGUUCCAGUAUGAUUACUGAAGUUAAGCAAUGUCAAGCCUGGUCAGUACCGAGAUGGGUGACCGCUUGUGAAUUCCAGCUGAUGUAA